AUUGAACGCUGGCGGCAGGCCUAACACAUGCAAGUCGAGCGGAUGAAGGGAGCUUGCUCCUGGAUUCAGCGGCGGACGGGUGAGUAAUGCCUAGGAAUCUGCCUGGUAGUGGGGGAUAACGUCCGGAAACGGGCGCUAAUACCGCAUACGUCCUGAGGGAGAAAGUGGGGGAUCUUCGGACCUCACGCUAUCAGAUGAGCCUAGGUCGGAUUAGCUAGUUGGUGGGGUAAAGGCCUACCAAGGCGACGAUCCGUAACUGGUCUGAGAGGAUGAUCAGUCACACUGGAACUGAGUCACGGUCCAGACUCCUACGGGAGGCAGCAGUGGGGAAUAUUGGACAAUGGGCGAAAGCCUGAUCCAGCCAUGCCGCGUGUGUGAAGAAGGUCUUCGGAUUGUAAAGCACUUUAAGUUGGGAGGAAGGGCAGUAAGUUAAUACCUUGCUGUUUUGACGUUACCAACAGAAUAAGCACCGGCUAACUUCGU
rnacentral:rRNA from 1 species